rnacentral:lncRNA from 1 species
ACGGGGCCCAAACAGCCCCCAGAACGGAAAAGAACACAAACAAAAGUAACAAAAAUUAACGAAAAAGAAAGAAAAACUGGCCAAAUAAGCACAAAUUUGGGUCACGGGGCAAACGUGGGGGAGAAGGGUGGAAAACAGGGCUUUUUUUGGGGGGGGUUUGGGGCCUUUUUUGAUGUUUUUGGUCACUUUGGGGCCCUUUGGUUACUUUUUUUUUUGGGCCAUUUUGGCACUUUUCCAGCCUUUUUUGGCACUUUUUUUUCCAGCCAUUUUGUCACUUUUUGGCACUUUUUGGCACUUCCAACAUUUUCUCACUUUUUUUUUUUGACAUUUUUUUCACUCUUUUUUUUUUUUUUUUGGACUUUUUCGUCACUUUUUUUGGCCGUUUUGGUCACUUUUUGUCACUUUUUUUUUUGGCCUUUUUCUUACUUCUGGAUAUUUUGUUCCAUUUUUUUGGGGCACUUUCGUCACUUUUGGACACUUUGGGCCUUUUUGUCACUUUUUCCCCCCUUUUUCUCACUUUUUUCUGAACAUUUUUGUGUCUUCAUUGAACUUUUUGAUCACUUUUUCUUUUGCACAUUUUUGCCACUUUUUGACCCUUUCCCAAUUUCUCCUUUUUUACCCCUUUUUGGGACCUUUUUUUUUUUUCCUUUUUGCCACUUUUUCCCCUUUUUUGUCACUUUUUGGGCAUUUUUCUCACUUUUACAAGGACCUUUUUCAUCCCUUUUUCCGGACCUUUCUGUCCUUUUUUUUCGUUGUUAUUUUUGUCACUUUUUCAGACAUUUCCAUCACUUUUUCGGGACGCUUUUUUCACUUUUUUUUUCCCCUUUCAAACCACUUUUUCCUCUUUUUGGCCUUUUUUUUCCAUGCCACCUCACAGCAGUGUUUUGUCUUGCAGUCACACCUGGGGGCAGAACUUUGUGCUUUGCUUACUGUGACAAACACAUCAUUUCAGUGCUCAAUACUUGCAGUUUUUUGGGGCAAAAUUGGCUCUUUCAGCUAUUUUCCGUGCCAGCUCCUCACCUGAAGAGACCUUGGGGUUCAAUUUGGGGCGAAAAGGGGGGGAAAAAGGUCAACAUUUUGUUACUGCAUCACAUGGGGUCGUCCCCGAUCCCCCGCCCCCCCACCCAAAAGUGGGAUAAUUGCACGCAGCUCGUUAAGAAAUAA